UGUGGCAGGGCCGGGUUCCCCGUGAGUCCAGUGGAGGCUCCAAGGCCCAUGUCUGCCUGCACCCAAGGUUGUUCAGGAGCCAAGGAAAGGCAGUGACUGCAGGCUUGAGAGCCAUCACCGUUUCUGUGGUGGAACAGAGGAGAAGCAGUACUGUCACGGCAGGCCUGGGCUUCCAGAGACUCCCGUCCAGUGGUCACUCCACCUUCAAAGGUGCUUCAAACUCCCAGAUGGAUGGAGGCCCCGACUCCUCAGGAUCCUAUUCUUGCUCCCACCUGACUAGUGAGGAGAUGAGGCUCAGAGAGGCCAAGCAACAGUGUGGAUCUGGGAUCGGAACCCACAUCUUCCGUGGAAGCAGUUCUGGACAACCACGCCACACGUGUUUUUAAGCUCUUGGGCCACCGGGCCCUGCCAAUAAACACACAUGAUAAAGUCGAUUGGGCGAACCCUGUUAAUUGUGAGCUCUAUGAGGACUGAUAAAGUUCCUCUGAGAAAGACCCUGCUGCUGUCUUUGCCAGUGUUGGAGAUCUUUCCUUCUCCCUUCACAGUGUGUGCAACAUACACUCAGUUAUUCAUUCAACAAAAAUACCUUCAGCAUCUACACCGCACAUUGUGAUACUUGAAAUGCAGCUGCCAACGAAGCAGAUGGUCCCUGUGGAUGUGGAGGUUGGAGUUUCAUAGGGGACACAGUUGGUGAACAGCAGAGAGAGGCUCCCGGAACCUGAAUUUCCAAAGGAGACUUUGGCCAGCCCUGGGACUCGCCACUUGGUGUCCUCAGACAAGGGGAGUGAGAUAGGACGAGACUUUGGGGCCUCUGGCUUUCCCAGGAGGCUCAGGAAAGAGAUUGCUGGCAACAGACGGGAAUGCAGCCUGGCGCUUGAGUUGCAAUGGGUUUGGAACAAACACUAGAUUGAAAA